GUGGGGAAUAUUGGACAAUGGGCGCAAGCCUGAUCCAGCCAUGCCGCGUGAGUGAUGAAGGCCUUAGGGUUGUAAAGCUCUUUCAGUGGGGACGAUAAUGACGGUACCCACAGAAGAAGCCCCGGCUAACUUCGUGCCAGCAGCCGCGGUAAUACGAAGGGGGCUAGCGUUGUUCGGAUUUACUGGGCGUAAAGCGCACGUAGGCGGAUCGUUAAGUCGGGGGUGAAAUCCUGGAGCUCAACUCCAGAACUGCCUUCGAUACUGGCGAUAUUGAGUCCGGAAGAGGUGAGUGGAACUCCUAGUGUAGAGGUGGAAUUCGUAGAUAUUAGGAAGAACACCAGUGGCGAAGGCGGCUCACUGGUCCGGUACUGACGCUGAGGUGCGAAAGCGUGGGGAGCAAACAGGAUUAGAAACCCGAGUAGUCC
rnacentral:rRNA from 1 species